AAAUGACUUAGACAUCUACUUUCAGAAGAGGGUCCAUGGCUGUUAAUCCUGAGUGGAAUAGAUGCCUCCUUCAAACUAGAGGUAAGAGUUUCUUUUAAGGAGGCUGCCCAAAAGGAGAGAGUUUUUUUCAUAAGAGUUUUCUAUUAUAUUAUGGAGCUUGAUAUCUGCAUACCAGUUUUCCAAUGCCAUCUCACAAUUGCCAGCAGAAGAAGUUAAAGAAAAUGCCUAUCAAACGUUGCAAGUUGUUAUACAAAUCAUGGACUGUAACUGUGUUGCAUUAACUAGGGGGAAUGCCGUACUGGACUUGGUGUUGGCUACAGGGGAGGACCUGGUAGGGGAGCUGCAGAUCCAUGGUCACCUUGGGGACAGUGACCACCAAUCGAUUGAAUUCAACAUACAGCAUAAGGUGGGUAAGAUAACUAGUGGGGUGGAAGUGGUUGACUUUAGGAAGACUAACUUCAGUGUGCUUAGGAGUCUAGUCAACAACACUGCAGAAUAAGAGUAUUGGUGAGAUGGGAGUCCAGGAAGGGUACUUGUUUCUAAAGGAAGCAAUCCUUUGGGCACAGAGGGAGACUAUCCAAGUAUGAGGGAAGAGGGGGAAAUGAGCCAAAAAAUGUCCUUGGCUAAACAGGGAAAUCCAGGGGAGCCUAAGGGUAAAAAAGAAGGCAAAAAAAAAAGGCAUAUAGGUGGUGGAAGCAGGGGGAAGCUACCUAGGAGGAGUAUACCUACUUGGCCUGCACUUGCAGGGAGGUAGUUAGAAAAGCCAAAGUGACUACAGAGCUGAGGCUGGCAACAGAAAUUAAAGACAACAAAAAGGGUAUUUUUAGGUAUGUAGGAAGUAAAAGGAAGGUGCAGGGCAGCAUAGGACCCCUACUGAACAAGAAGGAGCAAUUAAUGACAGAAAGGGGGGGCAAGGUUUAGCUAUUCAAUGAUUUCUUUUCCUCAGUUUUCCUGAUCAGGGCUCAAGAUAAGUCUCCUAAUGGGUUCUUAGAUGGCCAUAAGAGGGACACCAUCCCACCAACUGUCAAUGCUGACUUGGUGCAGUGUCACUUGGAUGGACUGGAUGUGUUCAAGUCGGAAGCCCUGGAUAAGCUGCAUCCGAGGGUACUGAAGGGAUUAGCUGGUGUCAUAGCAGAACCACUGGCAGGGCUGUUUGAGUGCUUAUGGUGCCCGGGUCAGGUCCCAAAGGACUGGAAAGGGGCUAGCGUGGUCCCUAUUUUUAAGAAGGGGAGGAAGGAGGAUCCGAGUAGUUAUAGGACAGUCAUUUUCACCUCCAUCUUUGGAAAGGUCUUUGAAAAGAUUAUGAAGGAUCUUUUUUGUGGGAGUCCAGCAGAAAAAAUAAUGCAUUAGGGAAACCAGCAUGGAUUUGUAUCAGGUAGAUCAUGCCUGGCCAAUCUGGUUUUAUUUUAUGACAGGGUCACAAAAUGCUUAGAUGGAGAAGUAGAGGUGGUUGUCAUUUAUUAGACUUUAGCAAGAUCUUGAAUACAGUAUCUCAUCCU
rnacentral:lncRNA from 1 species